rnacentral:lncRNA from 1 species
UCCUGGAAUCUUGGAGUUAGCACCUUGCCUGUUCCUGGUAUUUGUUGUCUGUGUUUCUUGAUCUUUAAUUCACCACCAUGAAGUCUUUGACCCUCUUUGUUUUGCUGGGAGUUUGCACUAUCCUGGCCUCUGGCCAGACUACAACUGAUGCUGCAACUGAACCUGCUCCUGAAGAGAGCUCCACUACUGCUGCUGCUGCCCUCAUUGAUGCUGUGGCCAAUGAUGCUGUCACCAUAGCUGCAGCUACCACCACUAAGAAACCAAGUAAGAACAUUUUAACCAUGUGUGUCCAGUAUGGAGCUUCUGGAUGCGCU